CCUCUCCCUGCGCAGUCACCUUCAGGCCGUGUAAUGCAGUAGACGCCUGCUUGUUUGACAUGAGGGACCUGAGAGGGCCAAGGUCCUGCUGGAUCCGCGAGUGAAAGAACAGAAACUGCUGGAGGGAGAGCAGAGGUUAGAGGAGGGCAGCAGAGACCAGUGUAAAGCAGAAGAGGGCACUAGUAAACUGACCUAUUGCAGCCACGGCUCACGUCUGAGCUGGUUACAGAACAAAACGAUUGAUUGAGUAUUGAAGGCAAUAGCACUGUUUGACGAGGCUAUAGCUCCAGAGCUCGGAAGUUUCUGACGCUGGUGAAAACUGCGUGCAGAGCCGUACAGAGGAUACAUGCUCAAUUAUUUCAACGUCAUAGAUGAAGAAAAAGCAGUUCCAAAAGUUUUUGAGGAGGAACAGUCCCUUCAUUCCUGUUUGCGUGGCAACAACAGCUGCAUUCAGAUGAAAAGGCCAGCUUGUUAAACAUCAUGUAACACUGAAUGUACUGAAUAUUUUAAAGGUCAGGUAUUGACAGGCACUGAGCUGCUUAUGUUUCCCUAAUGACCCCAAUUACAUCCAAGCUGAGUAAGUAGUCAAUAAACAAUGGCAUUAACAUAUGUAGAAAAAGUGU
rnacentral:lncRNA from 1 species